AUUGAACGCUGGCGGCAGGCCUAACACAUGCAAGUCGAGCGAGCGGCGGACGGGUGAGUAAUGUAUGGGGACUGCCCGAUAGAGGGGGAUAACUACUGGAAACGGUAGCUAAUACCGCAUCCUAUCGGAUAACCCAUAUGGGAUUAGCUAGUAGGUGAGGUAAUGGCUCACCUAGGCGACGAUCCCUAGCUGGUCUGAGAGGAUGAGCAGCCACACGGGGACUGAGACACGGCCCAGACUCCUACGGAGGCAGCAGGGGGGAAUAUUGCACAAUGGGCGCAGGCCUGAGGCAGCCAUCCCGCGUGUAUGAUGAAGGCCGUCGGGUUGUAAAGUACUUUUGGCAGAGAAGCGGUAUCUGCAGAAUAAGCACCGGCUAACUACGUGCCAGCAGCCGCGGUAAUUC
rnacentral:rRNA from 1 species